CAGUCGCCGCGGGAAUACGUAGGGUGCGAGCGUUAAUCGGAAUUACUGGGCGUAAAGCGUGCGCAGGCGGUUCGUUAAGACAGAUGUGAAAUCCCCGGGCUUAACCUGGGAACUGCAUUUGUGACUGGCGAGCUAGAGUACGGCAGAGGGGGGCAGAAUUCCACGUGUAGCAGUGAAAUGCGUAGAGAUGUGGAGGAAUACCGAUGGCGAAGGCGGCUACCUGGACUGACACUGACACUGAGGCGCGAAAGCGUGGGGAGCAAACAGGAUUAGAUACCCCCGUAGUCCCUGUCUCUUAUAC
rnacentral:rRNA from 1 species